UCAGCUAUAGCUUCACAAUUUACACUUUUUUUAUUCUCAAUUUAAAAUUGACUAGGGGAGAGUGAGCCAUUUUUUACAUUCAGCAUGACUGUCAAAGGAAAUAUAGUAUUAUUUCUAACAAAGAUAUCUACAUAUAUUUCAGGAUGUCGUGUAUCCCUGAAAAUAAUCAGAAUUAAUGUAAACAUUACAAUUUUGAAAACAUAGCUUGUCCAAAAAAAGUCUCUUGGUACAACUUACCCCAGGCAAAUUAAGCCGCCUACAAAUGAAUGUACCAAAUGAAAUAUUUCCACGACCUUUUUAAAACCCAUCUCUAUCUUUAUUUCCCAAACGCAAUUCAACACAAUCGCUUCUUUGUCUUCGAAGCAUCUUCAACACAGGUUUAACACCUAACAAAACACUUUUAACAUAGGCCUGUUGUUACCUCAGUGAUAAUGCCUUGCAUUAGGUCUGGGAAUUUACUCAACUUGCCAUUGGCUCAACUUACCCCAUGGCAAACAUUUUGACUAUAUUAGCCCACACAGCUCCAAGGAUGCACUGUCAUGCUAGGUUUAGGAUCUCACAGUUAAGCUUAUAGAGACCCCGACUGAUAUAGAACAAUCUGGUUUAGAUACAUCAUGAAACCUUUAACACAAUCAAUUCAUUUGACUUGGUAAAAAUCUGUUUUGUUGGAGCUGACUUGCUUACCACUUUUUCCAUGUGGUUUCAUCCUUCAGACUCCGUGAUAUGAUGACCUCUUCCUAAAUGUUUGGUCAACUUACCCCUAUGGCUCAACUUACUCCACUCUCCCCUUAACAAUUUGUGUAGUACUGUAGGUCUAGUGAGUUCUAAAUGGAAAAAGAGAAUCCAGUUCCAUCUAGUGGUAGUAUAAGUAAAAUCACUAGUUUCUGUUACAGUGACACUGUAAAAGCAUUGGUUACUCAAUGAGACAAAAUCACUAUUGUUACCAUCAACAUCAGUCAUUACAGUAUAAACAAUUUAGCCAACAAUAAAACAGAUCCUGUUCAGAAUUAUCUUGUUUGCACAGUUGACAGGCAAAGUUGAGGACAAUAUCUAUAUUUUCUUCAUUUGUUUAAUUGCACAAACAUAGGAUAUGACAAUCAUAGAGUUGAAAGAAAUGCAUGUGCAGGAGAAGUAAGAAACCCAAUGCGAGCGUGGAAACUGGUGUCUGAGCCUGUCCCCUCCCUGGAUGGUUUGGUGGUCUCUCUAUAGGCUGGUUUGUUUAACCUCACUGGCCUUGCCAGCUUCCAUUUCUACAGCUGUGUUCUCAUACAAACCACCAUCUUCCUCUCUGCAAGACAAAAACACGGGCUUUACAAUGAGCGUGUGUAGUUUGAUAGCCUUCUGUCUCGGACUGCAGCAGUUGAACAUUUCAUAAGAAAAUACACUUGCUUGUGAGAUCCUGGUAAGUUAGUUAAGGACAACAGGAGGUCACAAUUUUAAAGUAUGAAAAGAUUAUGUCAGGCAGUAGUGGAAAAGUACCCAUAUGUCAUAUUUUAUUUAAAAAAAUGCCUCACGUGAAAGUCACCCAGUAAAAUCCUACUUGAGUAAAAGUCUAGAAGUAUUUGGUUUUAAAUAUACAUAAGUAUCAAAAGUAAAUGUAAUUGCUCAAAUUUACAUAAGUAUAAAAAGUAUAAAUAAUUUCAAAUUGCUUAUAUUAAAGCAAACCAAACAGCACCAUAUGACUUGUUUUUUAUUUAAUUUACAGAGAACCAGGGGCAUGCUCCAACACUCAGACAUAUUUACAAACAUAGCAUUUAUAUUUAGUGGGCCUGAGGCAGUAGGGAUGACCAGGGAUGUUCUCUUGAUAAGUGCGUUGAAUUUGACCAUUUUCCUGUCCUGCUAAGCAUUCAAAAUGUAACGAGUACCUUUGGGUGUCAGGGAAAAUGUAUAGAGUAAAAAGUACAUUAUUUUAUUCAGGAAUGUAGUAAAAUAAAUGUAAAAGUUGACAAAUAUAAAUAGUAAAGUACAGAUACCCCAAAAAAUGACUUAAGUAGUACUUUAAAGUAUUUUUACUGAAGUACUUUAAACCACUGGUUGCUGGUGCCUGUUACACAAGGUACCUCUGGUCAUCUCUGUGGACGUGUCAUUGUAGUCACUGACUGAAUAUUACCUUGGCAAAUGGCUAGCAGCCUGCACUGAUAAGACAAUAGUAUAGCAGAUCAGCAAUAAGCUAAAGGAUCUCUAAGGUUAAGGAGAUUAUUUUUGCUUAGAUAUUUACCCUUGUCAUCCCACUUUACAACAAGUGUCACUAAUACCAUGUAAGUACACAGAAUAUAUGCAGGUGCAGUGCAUUUAGGUUAUCACCUCUGUUGUACUUACUUUUCCUUCUUGAAGAAAAGCCUUUGUACAAUAAGGAUGACGAAGACGAUGAAGAGGAAUCCCACUACAGCAGCCAGACCAACAAGCCAAGGCUGCAGUGUCCCACCCUUGGAUGUAGUGAGCCGUACGCCUCCUAUAUAAUGAAUAAAUAGUCAUGUAUUCACCAGAAAACUCUGAUUUGAUCAUUGAUACCACACCAUUGAUAGUGUUGUAGUAUGUGGACUAUAUUAUCAUGAUGAUGUAAGAUAUUUGAAGGAAGAGUUAAACAUCGCUGGCUAGUCCUGACUAACAGUGUUCACAGCUGUAACAUAAUGCCGACCUCAGAGGGAAGGUGCAAGGUGGGGUUAUUAUGACAUAACUGUUGUUAAACACCGUGCGUUGCAUAAAUAUCUAGCCAGUAUGAUUGAUCAUCGAUGAGGACUUACCGUUUGGCUUACCACUCUGGGCCUGGUUAACACAAACCGCCAGUGAUAAACAGACCAGGAAAGUUUUGUGGAGAGACAUUAUGAAUCCUUGUUGAUCCCAGGAGGCCUCUGAGGUUGGGGUUGUGUAGAACCUGUUCACUGUCACGAUACUCCUUCUGGACUGGUAACGUCCUGUGAGUUCAAAGUGCAGUAUACAGCACAGAGAGCAACCAGAUUGCACCAUGUUGCCAAUGAUACCAGAAGAUUUUAUUGCCUGAAAGGUGUGUCCACUCCAAACUCAUGACUUUUCAUUUGUUCCUGAAACCAGCUUUCAGUAACGAUCAUGUCAUGUGUUUACUGGAUAGCAUGCAAAUGUGUAAUAUUGUGUCAAAUAAAUGUGCAAUAAGUAGAAAACAAGUAUUUUUGAGAGAAAUGGUUUAAAAUCAUCAAACCAUACGGAAUAAACGUGUUCAACAACAUAGGUCACAGUUGAAAGUCCUGAAAGCAUUUCCUCUUCAUAUGGUCAAAGGGAGGUCUAAAGGCCUAGUCUAAACACUAACAAUACAACAAGGACUGGUCACUUAUGAAGCUCUUGCAUUGCUGCCAGCAUGUGGAGAUUAUUGUGUAAUGCAGUAAUGAGUACAUGAUUACAACACAGUAUAUAUCUUUUGGCUUACAGUGCAUCUGCCACAUUGCUGUACCCAGCCUUGUCUCUAGCAGUCAGAGUCUGUGUGCCUGAUGAUGGCGUACAGGGCGAUCAGAGCCACCACCGAUGCUAGGAACAGAUAGAUAACAUAGUUGGGCAGGGUGAUAGCGUCCCGAGAGGGAGGCUUGUAGUUCUCAAAGAACACCUCCUCUUGUGGUUCCCCAUAGUCCAAGUUAUGGUCCAUUGUCCCCUCACUCUAGUCUACCUCCACUCUUCUUCAAGGGGAGUCUGGUCUACCUGUCUGUACACAAAGACGCGCUUGAAGUAGUAUGCUGAGUAUAUUGGCAGUCAAUUCAGUAUAAUGUAUACAUUACAUUUCUUUAUAGGUAAUGUGUAUCAAAGAUUUUUUCAAAUAAGAACUACUUGUGUACCUACCAGUAUCAAUGUUUUUUUUCACCGCUUCCUAAUUUGGCAGGCUGUAUUAAUUUCCAACAGUAAUCUCCAAUCUUCAAAAACAACCAUCAAUUGAUCUCGCUCAUCAAUCUUCUCUCCCACUGAGAAGCUGUUAUUUUAGAUGUAUUACAUGUCAUCCCACUGCAGCCCUUGUGCUGGGUACCACGCAGCAUGAGGUUGCCAUGGCUGCAGGAGUGCUCUAGUCCCAGAUUGCAUUGACUGCAAAGAGACCCACGCGAGCUAAUGUACUUAGUGACGUACUGUACAGGCCAGGUCAAGGUCAGUUCUCUGAGCCUGGAUUUAGGAUUGGAAAACAAAAGGCGUAAAUUAGGCCAGAGGUUCCAAAAGAGAGAGAGGUGGUUG
ensembl:lncRNA